CGCGUAGGCGGCUGUAUAAGUCAGAUGUGAAAGCCCGCGGCCCAACCGUGGAAGUGCAUUUGAAACUGUAUGGCUUGAGUACUGGGAGGGGGUAGUGGAAUUCCCGGUGUAGAGGUGAAAUCCGUAGAUAUCGGGAGGAAUACCGGUGGCGAAGGCGACUGCCUGGCCAGAUACUGACGCUGAGGUGCGAAAGCGUGGGGAGCAAACA
rnacentral:rRNA from 1 species